AGACACCUCAGUGGAUGGGUCACUGUGACAAUGAGGUUGCUACAAACAGACACUGUGACUCUGCUUCUCCCAGCGACCAUCAAAGGCUACGCUGUGUGCAAAUCUGAAUGCACAACAGGAAUCCACAGGAACCCUGGGGGCACAGAAAGGUUCUGACAGAAGGUGCAAAUUUCACUUCCUCUGGAGAAUUGUCAUUUCCCUCCAAAAGCUGGUGGGCUUCUCUGGAGGGGUCAUGGAGUCUUCUUGAAGGUGUAGUGUUUGCUGGAGUGUUGAACAGUUAGCGAAGAAUUUCUGCUGUAAUGAGGGGAACGAGCCUGUUAAGUUAUGGGUUUUGGCAGAACUGCAGUGAUCUGUAUUAACAUG